UAGGUGGAAGAGAAUCAUUAUUGUCAUGAAACGAUAAUAAUACGUUUCUGUUUAUAAUUGUCUCAGUCUCCCAGCGAGAGGUCUUGUUCAUCUGUUUUUGCGAGUGAAGAAUUCUGGUCUGGUCGAAUACUUGAUCGUAUCUAACUCGUGAAGCAAUGACGAGCAUAUUAGCUGUCUUUAAGAAUUCGUACUCUUCUUCUUUGGGAGGUAAAGAGUUCUGGUUUCUUGACGUCCUCUCGAUAAACAUAUCGAGACCUUGAGAAUCUGGUGUACUUAGUUUCUGUACACAUUCCAAGCUUGUUCGAGGGUCUUUUUCUUCGCCUUGUUCUAAGACCAUGUAUUGUUCAAAUUCGUUUUGAUGCAUCUGUUCGGUCAGCAAACUUUCUCGUGUUGUGCCAUCAUUCGACUUGACCCGAACUCGGGAGGUCGGGCUAUUAGAACUCGUCGUCGGUCUGCUAUGGUUUGAGAACGUUAUCGGUGAAUUAACACGGCCAGAUGAACUAAUUUCAUCGGUAACAGAGAUUCGAUUUGGCUGAGGUCAAAAUUGAAUCAAAUCUUAUGUUUCCUUUCUCGUUUAUGAUCUAGUAAGAUCGAUGCCAUCGUGAUGUGAUGGUUCGUUUGUUGCGGUAUUAGACACCAUAUGAGAUGGAUCCAUUUUCGUGCUUACAAGCCUUAGAUCGGGUUCCUAACAAGGACGUUUUUUGUUUUUCUUCCUCACAGUCGGCGCCAAAAUGUAGAUCCUAAAAUCUACACUAAGUAUUUGAUAAUGAUUAAAUGUUAAAUCUAGGGAAAAAAAUAAUGUGGGCAACGAUAUCCUCAGAACACAACGAUAUAAUCAGGUAUGAGUUGACAAAAUAUAAUAUAUUCGUAUGUCGAAUAGCAUAGGUAUUUCGGUUGAAGGAAGAUUGUGACUGAACUCGGGAUCGAGCUGCCUACGUACCCGUCAAGGGAUCAAGUCUAAACGUAGUUCGGUUAUAAUCAUCUCGAAUGAGAUGUCGGUUUCAUCGGUCCGGAGUGAGACCUCGGUUUCGCUGGUCUCGGGCUAGAUGUCUGCUUCGCGAUCUCUUGUCUUGAAUGCGAAGUAUUCGAUGUCUGGUUGACGAGUUCAAUUAACUCGAACUAUCUGCAUACGAUCUCAUUAGAUCAAUCUUGUCGUACAAAGAUAAGCUCGUGUCAUUAACGUGAUACGAGGGUUGCUUUCGUCAUAGUUUCUUGUCUUUAACAAACACAACAAUGUGUUUACUUU